rnacentral:misc_RNA from 1 species
AGACAUAUUCAUCCAAGUCAGGACCUGACAUGCAAAGGAAAAGAAGAUAGGAAAUUAAUAAAUUCCAUGACAUUCAAUAGACAUGGAUAGUUUUUUUCCUUUAUUAGUAUCAUGUGCAUACCCUUCUUUAAUGGCCAUAACACGCUGUCAAGAAAAUUUACUGAACGCCUCAAUGCGAUAGGAUAUGAGAUCAUAUAGCUCAGACAUUCCUAAACAUAUAAUUGACUACCUUGUGGUGGGAAAAAAAUUGUCAGCUUCAACUUCAAGGAAAACCUUAUCCUCCAGGAACAAUAAUGUAUUUCAAUAAUAUCAUGAUCCUAACCUUCAGAACUCAGGAAGUAACUUCUUUUCCGAUAUUUAUGUAAAAUCAGAAUUAGGGUUUUUUUCGGCUUGAUGCCAUUAUCAUUAUACAAUCCACACAAUGAAAACUUUUGCAUCUUAAUGAGACGAUUUAUGCUACCUAAGUGAGCAAAUGUGCAUGUAUACAUAGAUAUGGGUUUUCUUGCAACGCUUGCUAUAAAGUUUUCAAUGACUAAAUCAGGAGGAGGACCAUCAAAUAUGAAAUUAAAUAAUAUAACAGCCUGAUACUUCAUAAAUGUAGGUAAUUCAGCUAUUUUAUACUAGAUCCUCAAAGCAUCAACAGCAGGGGUAACUAAACCAAGCUAGCCAACACUGUAAAUUAAUGGACAGGUAAUAGUCACGGAGGCAACAUAAAGUUAUUGACGUCAGCAAAGGUGAAUCUAGGUGGGAAAAGUAAGCAAGACUAUAGAUG